rnacentral:rRNA from 1 species
UUGUCGAUAACCCGAAUAGGAUGACCCGUGCACCGUGAUGGAACUCCCCGAGGCGGUGAUGCCGCCUCGGCCCGUGGAGCCUCCGCGCCUGCCGGCGGGGAGGCCCCACGAUUAAAAACCGGCGCGGAAUUGACGCCAAGGUAUACUCUUUAAGGGCUGCGUCCGGAUGACGGCUGUGCCGUGUGUUCGGCGCCCUACAAUUAUGAAAUGACUCUCGGCAACGGAUAUCUCGGCUCUCGCAUCGAUGAAGAACGUAGCGAAAUGCGAUACGUGGUGUGAAUUGCAGAAUCCCGUGAACCAUCGAGUUUUUGAACGCAAGUUGCGCCCGAGGCCAUUUGGCCGAGGGCACGCCUGCCUGGGCGUCAGUUGCUCUGGAACCCUCCGUGCCCUUCUUUAUUCGGCCGGAUGCGGAGCCUGGCCCUCCGAGCCCUCGGGCUUGACGGGCCGAAGCUUGUGGCUUGCCGAUUGGGGCCGGCUGUGGCGAGUGGUGGAUCUAUCGCUCACGCGACCCGUACGUCGCCUGCCGUCCCCAUGAGGGUGAAGGCCUAUGUAUACCCCGGACACGCGGAUGCCGACCGGCAACCUCGGACAAAGACCCCAGGUCAGGCGGGGCCACCCGCCGAGUUUAAGCAUAUAAUUAAGCGGAGGAGAAGAAACUUACGAGGAUUCCC